AUACGGAGGGUGCAAGCGUUAAUCGGAAUUACUGGGCGUAAAGCGCUCGUAGGCGGCUUGUAAAGUCGGAUGUGAAAGCCCCGGGCUCAACCUGGGAAUUGCAUUCGAUACUGCCAAGCUAGAGUAUGGGAGAGGGAAGUGGAAUUUCCGGUGUAGCGGUGAAAUGCGUAGAUAUCGGGAGGAACACCAGUGGCGAAGGCGGCUCACUGGGCCACACCUGACGCUCAGAUGCGAAAGCUAAGGGAGAGAACGGGAUUAGAAACCCCGGUAGUCC
rnacentral:rRNA from 1 species